GUGGGGAAUCUUCCGCAAUGGACGAAAGUCUGACGGAGCAACGCCGCGUGAGUGAUGACGGUCUUCGGAUUGUAAAGCUCUGUUAAUCGGGACGAAAGAGCUCUGUGUGAAUAAUGCAGAGAAGUGACGGUACCGGAAUAGAAAGCCACGGCUAACUACGUGCCAGCAGCCGCGGUAAUACGUAGGUGGCAAGCGUUGUCCGGAAUUAUUGGGCGUAAAGCGCGCGCAGGCGGGUUUUUAAGUCUGUCUUAAAAGUUCGGGGCUUAACCCCGUGAGGGGUUGGAAACUGGAAACCUAGAGUAUCGGAGAGGAAAGCGGAAUUCCUAGUGUAGCGGUGAAAUGCGUAGAUAUUAGGAAGAACACCAGUGGCGAAGGCGGCUUUCUGGACGAAAACUGACGCUGAGGCGCGAAAGCCAGGGGAGCAAACGGGAUUAGAAACCCUGGUAGUCC
rnacentral:rRNA from 1 species